AUUGAACGCUGGCGGCAGGCCUAACACAUGCAAGUCGAGCGGAUGAGUGGAGCUUGCUCCAUGAUUCAGCGGCGGACGGGUGAGUAAUGCCUAGGAAUCUGCCUGGUAGUGGGGGACAACGUUUCGAAAGGAACGCUAAUACCGCAUACGUCCUACGGGAGAAAGCAGGGGACCUUCGGGCCUUGCGCUAUCAGAUGAGCCUAGGUCGGAUUAGCUAGUAGGUGAGGUAAUGGCUCACCUAGGCGACGAUCCGUAACUGGUCUGAGAGGAUGAUCAGUCACACUGGAACUGAGACACGGUCCAGACUCCUACGGGAGGCAGCAGUGGGAAUAUUGGACAAUGGCGAAAGACCUGAUCAGCCAUGCCGCGUGUGUGAAGAAGGU
rnacentral:rRNA from 1 species